rnacentral:rRNA from 1 species
AAUCCUGCAGCUUAACUGUAGCACUGCCAUUGAUACUGAGAUUCUUGAGUACGGUUGAGGUAGGCGGAAUGUGUAAUGUAGCGGUGAAAUGCUUAGAUAUGACACAGAACACCGAUCGCGAAGGCAGCUCACUAAAGUGAAACUGACGCUCAUGCACGAAAGCGUGGGGAUCAAACAGGAUUAGAUACCCUGGUAGUCCACGCUGUAAACGAUGAUUACUCGAUGUUGGCGAUAUACUGUCAGCGUCUAAGCGAAAGCAUUAAGUAAUCCACCUGGGGAGUACGGCCGCAAGGUUGAAACUCAAAGGAAUUGACGGGGGCCCGCACAAGCGG